UGCAGAAUCCCGUGAACCAUCGAGUUUUUGAACGCAAGUUGCGCCCGAAGCCGUCAGGCCGAGGGCACGUCUGCCUGGGUGUCACGC
rnacentral:rRNA from 1 species